rnacentral:lncRNA from 1 species
AAUUAUUGAACCACAUAAUCUAAUAUUUUGCUAGUAUUACAAAACCAUUAAUCUCAAACUACAGGACUAAGUUUGAUGUCUUUCAUAUAAGAAACAAAUAAGAUAAAGAGUACUCCAUCGACGAACCAUCUUAUUCGAUCCUCAUCUGUUAGCGUCAAUGCUACGCUCUUUUAUUCUGGAUGUUCAGAACCACAACUGCAAACAUCAUGGUCGCCCUACACAUGUUCUUACAGUUCUUCAGCAUCUGGCAAACGUUGUUGAGGUUGAGCGUGAAGAAACUAAUUGCCACACUGC